rnacentral:rRNA from 1 species
UACGGAGGGUGCGAGCGUUAUCCGGAAUUACUGGGUUUAAAGGGUGCGUAGGCGGCUUGUUAAGUCAGGAGUGAAGGUUUGCGGCUCAACCGUAAAAUUGCUUUUGAUACUGGCAGGCUAGAAUUAGGAUGAGGUUAGCGGAAUGUGGCAUGUAGCGGUGAAAUGCAUAGAUAUGCCAUAGAACACCAAUUGCGAAGGCAGCUGGCUAGACCUAUAUUGACGCUGAGGCACGAAAGCGUGGGGAGCGAACAGG